AGUGAACGCUGGCGGCGUGCCUAAUACAUGCAAGUCGAACGGGGAUUAAGUAGCUUGCUAUUUAAUCUUAGUGGCGCACGGGUGAGUAAUAUAUAGCUAACUUGCCCAUUACUAAGGGACAACAGUUGGAAACGACUGCUAAUACCUUAUACUCCGUAUCUAUAUAAGUAGAUACGGGAAAGUUUUUCGGUAAUGGAUAGGGCUAUAUCGUAUCAGCUAGUUGGUAAGGUAAUGGCUUACCAAGGCUAUGACGCGUAACUGGUCUGAGAGGAUGAUCAGUCACACUGGAACUGAGACACGGUCCAGACUCCUACGGGAGGCAGCAGUAGGGAAUAUUGCUCAAUGGGGGAAACCCUGAAGCAGCAACGCCGCGUGGAGGAUGACACUUUUCGGAGCGUAAACUCCUUUUCUUGGGAAAGAAUUAUGACGGUACCCAAGGAAUAAGCACCGGCUAACUCCGUG
rnacentral:rRNA from 1 species